rnacentral:tRNA from 1 species
GGCUCCGUAGCUUGGAGGGUAGAAACACCCAUCCAGCGAAUUGGGAGUCGUGGGUUCGAUUCCCACCGGAGCAC